rnacentral:rRNA from 1 species
GUGAUCGAAUCUCCGUAGGUGCACAGCGGAGGGACAUUACGUGGUUUAGCUCCUGACUUAUGUUAUCUACCGGGGUGGGAACUGCUUCUAUCCUGCCGCGCCCCGGCUGAGAGACGGCCCUGGGAUGACCCAAACUUAUCUGGGGCUUGUUGGAACUUCCGACUGAAACAAACAAAUAAAUCUCAACUUUCCCAACAGAUCUCUUGGUUCUGGCUUCAAUGAAAACCACUUUAAACUGCGAAACUCAAGGUGAAUUGCUCAAUUCAGAGAAUCAUCAAAUCUUUGAACUAACAUUGCUCCCGCUGGCAUUCCAGCGGGCAUGCCUGUACCAGCGCUUGUUCUCCCCGGAUUUCCCCUGGAUUGGUGCUGCUUAUCUAUCAUCACAAACCCACACAUAACAUUUGUUUAUGUGGUGAUGGGUCGCAUCGCUGUUUUAUUACAGUGAGCACCUAAAAUGUGUGUGAUUUUCUGUCUGGCUUGCUAGGCAGGAAUAUUACGCUGGUCUCAGGAUCUUUUUUUUUGGUUCGCCCAGGAAGUAAAGUACAAGAGUAUAAUCCAGUAACUUUCAAACUAUGAUCUGAAGUCAGGUGGGAUUACCCGCUGAACUUAAGCAUAUCAAUAAGCGGGGGGAA